rfam:Aptenodytes forsteri contig80899, whole genome shotgun sequence.
CCAAAGGCUCUUUUCAGAGCCGCCAACGAACUCGGAAAAAGAGCUU